GCAUACAGCGCGGCGAUUAUCAGCGUCGCGUAAGAGAAAAGCGACAGACCGAUGUGCACCAUCAUGCCUGGGGUCGC
rnacentral:tRNA from 1 species